UAGGGAAUAUUGCACAAUGGGGAAGACCCUGAUGCAGCGACGCCGCGUGAAGGAAGAAGUGUCUCGGUAUGUAAACUUCUAUCAGCAGGGAAGACAAUGACGGUACCUGACUAAGAAGCCCCGGCUAACUACGUGCCAGCAGUCGCGGUAAUACGUAGGGGGCAAGCGUUAUCCGGAUUUACUGGGCUGUAAAGGGAGCGUAGACGGAAUGCAAGUCUGAUGUGAAAGGCAGGGGCUCAACCCCUGACUGCAUUGGAAACUGUUGAUCUUGAGUACCGGAGGGGUAAGCGGAAUUCCUAGUGUAGCGGUGAAAUGCGUAGAUAUUAGGAGGAACACCAGUGGCGAAGGCGGCUUACUGGACGGUAACUGACGUUGAGGCUCGAAAGCGUGGGGAGCAAACAGGAUUAGAUACCC
rnacentral:rRNA from 1 species